rnacentral:lncRNA from 1 species
GUUUGAGGGUCCAAUGGGGCCAUCUCUUUUACGGAAUUGGAUGUAGAUAUCCAACAACAUCCAAUCAAAUGGGUGUGGAAGAGUGUGGGUAUAAAUAUUUCCUUGUAGAGGACUCACAUCAAGUGUCAAGUGAAUGGGUUUUAUAAAUCUUUUCUUCUCCAUCCUUCUUUGGGGCCACGUCAUUUUUAGGGAUUCGCAUAACCUCCUUUCUAUGAGAUAUAUCCAAGGUUCCCUUCUUUUCAAAAGAGAGAUAAGAAAUGGACAUGGAU